rnacentral:rRNA from 1 species
AUUGAACGCUGGCGGCAGGCCUAACACAUGCAAGUCGAGCGGAUGAAGGGAGCUUGCUCCUGGAUUCAGCGGCGGACGGGUGAGUAAUGCCUAGGAAUCUGCCUGGUAGUGGGGGAUAACGUCCGGAAACGGGCGCUAAUACCGCAUACAUCCUGAGGGAGAAAGUGGGGGAUCUUCGGACCUCACGCUAUCAAAUGAGCCUAGGUCGGAUUAGCUAGUUGGUGGGGUAAAGGCCUACCAAGGCGACGAUCCGUAACUGGUCUGAGAGGAUGAUCAGUCACACUGGAACUGAGACACGGUCCAGACUCCUACGGGAGGCAGCAGUGGGGAAUAUUGGACAAUGGGCGAAAGCCUGAUCCAGCCAUGCCGCGUGUGUGAAGAAGGUCUUCGGAUUGUAAAGCACUUUAAGUUGGGAGGAAGGGCAGUAAGUUAAUACCUUACUGUUUUGACGUUACCAACAGAAUAAGCACCGGCUAACUUCGUG